rnacentral:rRNA from 1 species
UGGGGAAUUUUGGACAAUGGGGGCAACCCUGAUCCAGCAAUGCCGCGUGUGUGAAGAAGGCCUUCGGGUUGUAAAGCACUUUUGUCCGGAAAGAAAACUUCGGGGCUAAUACCCCUGGAGGAUGACGGUACCGGAAGAAUAAGCACCGGCUAACUACGUGCCAGCAGCCGCGGUAAUACGUAGGGUGCGAGCGUUAAUCGGAAUUACUGGGCGUAAAGCGUGCGCAGGCGGUGCUGUAAGACCGAUGUGAAAUCCCCGGGCUUAACCUGGGAACUGCAUUGGUGACUGCAGCGCUGGAGUAUGGCAGAGGGGGGUGGAAUUCCACGUGUAGCAGUGAAAUGCGUAGAGAUGUGGAGGAACACCGAUGGCGAAGGCAGCCCCCUGGGCCAAUACUGACGCGCAUGCACGAAAGCGUGGGGAGCAAACAGG